AAAUCUGCUUCCUUCUUUCCUGCAGGGAAGAGAAGGAAGGAGGUGCAAAUCGCUUUCUUCAGCUGUUGGUGGCAGUGUGAUGAAGGACAGAAUCGCGUUUGGGAUCCCCAGGCUCUCCUCUCCUCCCCUUGCUUUGCAGCCAUCCCUCCAAGGGCUUUUGCAAGAUUCAGAAGCGAGACCUUCGUUCUGGAGAGCGGAGACAAGGCUUUGUGAAUGGAUGGCAUGGCAGUGAAGCUGCAAGAAAUGCCUGGAGGCACAAUACCUUGUCUCCUGGUUGUGGGCGCAUCACAGAUACACGGUCGUAGCCUUUCCGCAGCAAGACCCAGAGAGCAUCCAA
rnacentral:lncRNA from 1 species